rnacentral:rRNA from 1 species
GACGAACGCUGGCGGCGUGCCUAAUACAUGCAAGUUGAGCGCUGAAGGUUGGUACUUGUACCAACUGGAUGAGCAGCGAACGGGUGAGUAACGCGUGGGGAAUCUGCCUUUGAGCGGGGGACAACAUUUGGAAACGAAUGCUAAUACCGCACAAAAACUUUAAACACAAGUUUUAAGUUUGAAAGAUGCAAUUGCAUCACUCAAAGAUGAUCCCGCGUUGUAUUAGCUAGUUGGUGAGGUAAAGGCUCACCAAGGCGAUGAUACAUAGCCGACCUGAGAGGGUGAUCGGCCACAUUGGGACUGAGACACGGCCCAAACUCCUACGGGAGGCAGCAGUAGGGAAUCUUCGGCAAUGGACGAAAGUCUGACCGAGCAACGCCGCGUGAGUGAAGAAGGUUUUCGGAUCGUAAAACUCUGUUGGUAGAGAAGAACGCUGGUGAGAGUGGAAAGCUCAUCAAGUGACGGUAACUACCCAGAAAGGGACGGCUAACUACGUG